CGAUGAGAUAGCACAGCUAGUCGACUUGUAGCUAGCCAACGCAGUGGUUGUGAAAACCGAAACGGAUAUAUGUUUAAAUCCUACUAUAAGUUUGCUGACACUUUCAGCGUUAAGCUUAAAGUACAGUUUAAAAAGACGUUCUAAAAGUUGACUCAUAUAAGAAACUACUUCAAAUGUAUAUGACAGUCUUAGUCAUCUGCAUCAGCUGGUUGAAGAGGACUGUGAUGUAAAGAGACUAUAAAGCCUGUGACGGGACUUUUGUCAACAAACCACAAGAAGUGAUACUUUUUCCCAAAGGCACUUUUUUGUAUGUUCCGAUGUUGAGAUUUCAUAAUUCACGACAGACCGCUUAACAUAUGAUUACUUUAUCAGAACAUGUGAUUAAACACGUAACUCUGGGUGAAUAUCAACGACCUCAACGAACAUGUCUUUAUCCGCAGGAUGGUCAAGUGCUUCGUUUUCCUGUCACGUGCAAGAUGGAUAUGAUUUAGUAACUUUGAUUGCAUAAAGACGCAGUUCGCCAUCUACAGAUACUCUUUCUUAUAACGUUCAGGCUACGGAUAUAAAUCGAAACAGACGCAGAAGGAUUUUGCAUUUGCUGUACAUCUGAAAACUUGUAUGUUUCAUCCCAGUUUUCACAAAUAUGAUUCCAGUUAUCCGCAGAGAAACACGAUCUGACAACAAAAGCAAAGUCACAUUGCGAUAUCUGCCGUGUCCACCGAGGAUAAUCGAUCCCCGGCUUUAAGUGUUUUAAGUCCGUAAACUGUCAACUGUCCCACCAGGGAAUUGGAGCUUAAGACUAUUUUUCAUCAAGUACAUCAAUGACCGAAAGCUGCUGGCUCUACUAUAGGCCUACCAUCAUGAGUAACUGAAGUGCUAACGAGCCCUGAUGAUAAGCUAAGAGUUAUAGGUUAAUUCUAAAUCAACGCAGCGGUUUCUCUCUUACCGAGUAAAUUAAUUUGGUCUCCGGGAGUUCAGGCCACUUGGGGAUCUGAAAGUAGGAAGCAAGCGGAAUGGUGACUCAGUACCGGCGAACGGUGGGGGCAACCUCGAAACACUAUAUGUGGACACCGAAAGCAAAGGGACAGAGAGCAAGCACGUGUCAUUUCAGUUACACACGGUACACGAUGAUGAUGAGAGGGUGAAGUGGAGUUCUAGAACAGAAUGUUCCAAAACAAGACAGUGGUUUAGUGGUCGACAAAUGAGGGCCUCAGUAGGUUUAUUAAUACAUCAUCUAUGAACUACACCUUCUACAAACAGUGUGUAAGGUACCAUUAUAUAUACAUAUAGUUUUUCUAUUUAUUUUAAGAUCGAAAUUUGAGCGCGUAGUCAACCAAUAUGUAGACCUAAACAUAAAUAGUUUGUAUUCGGUUAAAUAAAUCACUAUUUAUCAAAUGAUAUCGAGCAGCACGCCUGAAAUACAAACAUAGCCUUGGAAAAUUCUCUACAACAUAUACCUAAAUCUGCAAAUAACCGAAUAGCAUGUGGAUAUCAAUCGUGACAAAAAUUAUAUAAACCCUUAAAGCCAUAAAGAACAGAAGCAAAAUAUAAUUUUAGUAAUAAACACUGCAUGGGUUCAAUAGAGAAAAUAUUUUACUAUUUAUAAUGUAGAAUACAAAUUAACGUGCUGAGUGUAAAAAGUAAUUUUAAUUUUAGAUAACUGUAUUAAUGUCGUGAUCGUACAGAACUUAACACUA
rnacentral:lncRNA from 1 species